rnacentral:sRNA from 2 species
CAGGUGAUAUAUGAAUCCUCUUUUUUGAGCCCCAUGACAGCUAACCCGACUGCUCCUGCCAACCGCGUUGCUGGUAAGUGAUUGCUGGUAGGGAUUAUUGAAUGUCCAUUGGAAACUAAAUGCAGUCAAUCUUUCCAGCAGUCAUUGUUACUCUACCCCUUAAUAGACCAGAGAAGCUAUGACACUGUAUUCCCAGCAACAAAAAUGCUUACGUUCCAAAUUGGGCGAAUCGUUAGGAUGAUGAAAUACGUCCCCGUCCCCGGCGACCGAGGAAUUCCUCCUACCCCUCAAGAUCCCUACUUUCGUGGAUCUCUAAGUUGCACUCUUCUGAUAUUCUUGGGCAUGUCGAUGUGAUUCACUUGACGAAAAGACAGCAUAUUAACCAUUAACCCAAGGCAUAAGAGAACUAGUAAUACAUAUGUUCCCUUGAGAGUGAAAUGAUUGGCCAAGUAACCUUUUACCUUCCGGCCUGUUCAACUCGACAAGCAGAUUCGUUGGGGUCUUAGAAUCCCCUAAGGGAGGGUUUCUCGAACCUAACUCGAGGCUUGCGGAUGCAAGAAGGGAAGUGGCUUGUUCCCGUGGUAUAUACGAUUUUUGUUAUAAAGUUUGAGUCCUUCCCUAUUUGAAGCUCAUUCGACGAAUUUUGCUUAGAUAGAUUGGAUAUAAAGAUUCUGGUGGAAAGGCAAAAUAGAUAAGCAAAUAAGAUUGGUUUCUAUGACGGGAUAGCCAUUACUCGUGGAGCGGUGGACGGGUAGCCAGAUCUCCACGGCGUGAUAGAUGCUGCUAAAAACUUGGAUAGCAAGUAGCCUAUGAUAUCAUACGACAGUCGAUGUAGAAGCAGAAUUUGCACGAACCGUACCAAAU